rnacentral:rRNA from 1 species
GACGAACGCUGGCGGCGUGCUUAACACAUGCAAGUCGAACGGUAAGGCCCUUCGGGGUACACGAGUGGCGAACGGGUGAGUAACACGUGGGUGAUCUGCCCUGCACUUCGGGAUAAGCCUGGGAAACUGGGCCUAAUACCGGAUAGAACUCCGAACUGCAGGGCCUGGGUGGGAAAGCUUUUGCGGUGUGGGAUGGGCCCGCGGCCUAUCAGCUUGUUGGUGGGGUGAUGGCCUACCAAGGCGACGACGGGUAGCCGGCCUGAGAGGGUGACCGGCCACACUGGGACUGAGAUACGGCCCAGACUCCUACGGGAGGCAGCAGUGGGGAAUAUUGCACAAUGGGCGCAAGCCUGAUGCAGCGACGCCGCGUGAGGGAUGACGGCCUUCGGGUUGUAAACCUCUUUCAGCAUCGACGAAGCGAAAGUGACGGUAGGUGCAGAAGAAGGACCGGCCAACUACGUGCCAGCCGCCGCGGUAA